rnacentral:rRNA from 1 species
GGAGCCUGCGGCUUAAUUUGACUCAACACGGGGAAACUCACCAGGUCCAGAGUUGCUGAGGAUUGACAGAUUGAAAGCUCUUUCGUGAGUUGUAACGAUGGUGGUGCAUGGCCGUUCUUAGUUGGUGGAGUGAUUUGUCUGGUUAAUUCCGAUAACGAACGAGACCCUAGCCUGCUAAAUAGCCCGGCCGGCUUUGGCUGGUCGCUGGCUUCUUAGAGGGACUUUUGGCGUAUAGCCAAAGGAAGUGGGGCAAUAACAGGUCUGUGAUGCCCUUAGAUGUUCUGGGCCGCACGCGCGCUACACUGACAGAGCCAGCGAGUAUUUUUUCCUUGGCCGGAAGGCCUGGGUAAUCUUGUGAAACUCUGUCGUGAUGGGGAUAGAACAUUGCAAUUAUUGUUCUUCAACGAGGAAUACCUUGUAAGCCCGAGUCAUCAGCUCGGGUUGAAUACGUCCCUGCCCUUUGUACACACCGCCCGUCGCUACUACCGAUUGAAGGCGUUAGUGAGGUCUUUGGAUUGGGCCGCGGGAGCCGGUGACGGCACCUGUAGUCUGAAAAAUUGAACGAACUUGCGUCUUUAGAGGAAGUAAAAGUCGUAACAAGGUUUCCGUAGGUGAACCUGCGGAAGGAUCAUUAGUGAAAUUGAGGAUCCGGUUUCGAUCGGCCUCUUAUCCUAUUUCAAACACUUGUGCACUGUCAUUUUUUGACGCCAAUUUGUAUUGUAUGUCGGUUGACCAUAAAUAAAGUUUAAACAACUUUCAGCAACGGAUCUCUUGGCUCUCGCAUCGAUGAAGAACGCAGCGAAACGCGAAAUGUAAUGUGAAUUGCAGAAUUAUAGUGAAUCAUCGAAUCUUUGAACGCAUCUUGCGCCCGGUGGUAUUCCGCCGGGCAUGCCUGUCUGAGUGUCAUUACUAUCUCAACCCUAGCGAUGUUGUCAUGACGUUGCUAAGCGGAUUGGAACCUGGACUUGGCGGGGUUCGCCCUGCCGGUCUUAAAUGGAGUAGGCUAGCCGACUAUCAGCGGUUUGACCGGGUGUUGUAGAGUCGCCUCACUCGGGACGCUGAUCGGAUUAGUUGGAUUGUAAUUGUAUUACUCGAGCGAUUUAGACCUCAGAUCAGGUAGGAUUACCCGCUGAACUUAAGCAUAUCAAUAAGCGGAGGAAAAGAAACUAACCAGGAUUCCCCUAGUAACGGCGAGUGAAGAGGGAAGAGCCCAACUUUGUAAUCUGGUACUUUUAGUACCCGAGUUGUAGUCUCGAGAAGUGUGACCCGGUCUGCAGUGGAUUAAGACUGUUCGGAUGCAGUGUCAUAGAGGGUGCCAACCCCGUUGAAUCUAACUUGUAGUACCAUCGUGGUCCACUCUCCAAGAGUCGAGUUGUUUGGGAAUGCAGCUCUAAUUGGGUGGUAAAUUCCAUCUAAGGCUAAAUAACGGCGAGAGACCGAUAGCGAACAAGUACCGUGAGGGAAAGAUGAAAAGCACUUUGGAAAGAGAAUGAAACAGUAUGUGAAAUUGCUGGAAGGGAAACGCUUGAAGUCAGAUACGCGCGGUGCGGCUCAGCCCAACUUCGGUUGGGUGCAUUUCGUACUACUGCGGACCAACAUCGGUUUGGUAACCAUGAACAGGGUUAUGGGAAGGUGGCCACCCUCGGGUGGCGUUAUAGCCCAUAACUGGACGAUGGUGACCAGACCGAGGUAUUCAGUGCACUCUUGUAGCAAUGUCUUCGGACAUUCAUGCACUUAGGAUGUUGGUAUAAUGGCUUUAAACGACCCGUCUUGAAACACGGACCAAGGAGUCUAACAUGCAUGCGAGUGUUUGGGUGGUAAACCCUUGCGCGUAAUGAAAGUGAAUGGAGGUGGGAUCCUUUUGGAGCACCAUCGACCGGUCUGGAUUUUGUAUGAUGGAUCUGAGUAAGAGCAUGUACGUUGGGACCCGAAAGAUGGUGAACUAUGCCUGAAUAGGGUGAAGCCAGAGGAAACUCUGGUGGAGGCUCGUAGCGGUUCUGACGUGCAAAUCGAUCGUCAAAUUUGGGUAUAGGGGCGAAAGACUAAUCGAACC